GGGUGAAGAGGAAGCACAAGAAGAGGUGUCAGUGGGUGAAGCCCCUCUUGCAAAGAAGAUUGAGGCUUGGACAGUGUCAUAACCUGAUGAAUGUGCUGCAGGAGGAGGAUUUGUCUGCAUUUUAAAACUUUACACGAAUCCCCCCUGAACUAUGAUUGAGCACCCCCAGGAGUGACAGAGGUCACAUGCUUAUGUUUACAUUGACCUUUUUCUUUCCACCCCGGAGGUAUUACCUUCGACUACCUUUGACUUCCCUUGACGACCUUUGACUAGUAUCACAACCGGCUUUGACUAGACUUGUGACUAAACAAUCAUCGAUUUUUAAAACAGCAACCUAUUUUUAGUCGAGGCCUGGACGAAAAAAUAGCAGUAACCU